ensembl:lncRNA
CCUCGACCAUAUAAAGCAUCGCUGCAAGUCAUCUGUCAGUCACUUGACACAUCAGAGACAGUGUAUGCUUCUUUCUCCACUUUGCAUCUACACAGUCUCAAAAUGUGCAAGCUCACUCUAACUGCUGGUAAGCACACUGAUUAAAUAUUUGCUUUACAAAGUUGAUAACCAGCUUCGUGGGGCUGCUUGGCGGGAUUUUGAUUGUUAAGGUUAAAUCAGAGAAGCAAAAACUUGAACUGCUCGUUGUUGAACUGCUUGCUGGUACAGGCCCCUCUUGAGCUUAGUUUAAACCCCAUACUAACAAGUGUGUCACUUUCCAGCUCUCUGUUUGAUCAUCGCCAGCUUGGGUAAGUUUAUAACAUGUAUAGUUCACAAUCAACAGUGUCACUGUUAGAUAAAUGAACUUAACAAUUUUUGGAAAACAAGGAUGGGAAGUGGUUUUCAGCAUAUAUAUGAAUCAAUGCGAUCAUCUUUAAUGUAACCACUCUUUAUAAAUGUAUAUAGGUGUGUUAUCAGUGAAAAUAUGUGCCCUUUCAGGUUCCUAAGAGCUUCUAACACAUGUGUAACACGAACUGUUUUAGGUUUACCCGGCAUUGAAGCGAUGAAAUCCUCUACUGACCCCUGUGAUGGAAGACCCAAUGGGCAAUACCCCAACCCUGACGACGAACAUUCUUUCCUCUACUGUAUAUCUGGAGAAAAACGCGUCCAACAAUGCCCAGCAAAUUUGGUGUAUAACCCAUCCAUUAAGGUCUGUGACUAUCCCAGUAGUCAAACUGGAAACCCCUGUCAUGGAAGACGAGAUGGGCAGUACCGCAACCGUGACGACCGAAAUUCUUUUCUCAGCUGUGUAGCUGGACUAACCUACGUCCUACAAUGCCCAGCCGAUUUGGUCUAUAGACGCCGCAUUAAUCAAUGCGUCUAUCCCAGGAGAGGUUAAACUACCAGUAGAGAUACUGGAGGCCAAUGUAGUGGGAGAAGAAAUGGGCAACAUCCCAACCCUAAUAAUCAAACUUCUUUUACUACUAUGUAGCUGGACAAACGGCUACAACUCCCAAACCCAGAGCAGAUUAUUGGGACAUAAUCAAAUUCUGUUAAAUGUGCAAUUUCCUGUGUUCUUCAAUGCUUUUGGAUGUGAGGAAUGUAAUAAUGGCUAAAUACCACAUUGUUUUCCUAACUUCACUGUUGUUGUAUAGGAUAUAGGUUUUCGCAACUGUCGUGUGUAUAAUCACACUGGGUGUUUUCUCUUUCGUUUAUGUUGAUUGGUGAAUGGAUUGUUCUUACAUUAUGACACAAAUGUGGCAUAUUGUAAUUAUAUACAAUGAAUCAAUAAAAUACCGC